GAUGAACGCUGGCGGCGUGCCUGAUACAUGCAAGUCGAGCGAAUGGAUUAAGAGCUUGCUCUUAUGAAGUUAGCGGCGGACGGGUGAGUAACACGUGGGUAACCUGCCCAUAAGACUGGGAUAACUCCGGGAAACCGGGGCUAAUACCGGAUAACAUUUUGAACCGCAUGGAUCGAAAUUGAAAGGCGGCUUCGGCUGUCACUUAUGGAUGGACCCGCGUCGCAUGAGCUAGUUGGUGAGGUAACGGCUCACCAAGGCAACGAUGCGUAGCCGACCUGAGAGGGUGAUCGGCCACACUGGGACUGAGACACGGCCCAGACUCCUACGGGAGGCAGCAGUAGGGAAUCUUCCGCAAUGGACGAAAGUCUGACGGAGCAACGCCGCGUGAGUGAUGAAGGCUUUCGGGUCGUAAAACUCUGUUGUUAAGGAAGAACAAGUGCUAGUUGAAUAAGCUGGCACCUUGACGGUACCUAACCAGAAAGCCACGGCUAACUACGUGCCAGCAGCCGCGGUAA
rnacentral:rRNA from 1 species